rnacentral:rRNA from 1 species
CAGUCGCCACGGUAAUACGUAGGUGGCAAGCGUUGUCCGGAAUGAUUGGGCGUAAAGCGUCUGUAGGUGGCUUUUCAAGUCCGCCGCCAAAUCCCAGGGCUCAACCCUGGACAGGCGGUGGAAACUACCAAGCUGGAGUACGGUAGGGGCAGAGGGAAUUUCCGGUGGUGCGGUGAAGUGCGUUGAGAUCGGAAAGAACACCAACGGUGAAAGCACUCUGCUGGGCCGACACUGACACUGAGAGACGAAAGUUAGGGGAGAAAAUGGGAUUAGAUACCCCCGUAGUCCCUGUCUCUUAUAC